AUUGAACGCUGGCGGCAUGCCUUACACAUGCAAGUCGAACGGUAACAGGCCGCAAGGUGCUGACGAGUGGCGAACGGGUGAGUAAUGCAUCGGAACGUGCCCAGUAGUGGGGGAUAGCCCGGCGAAAGCCGGAUUAAUACCGCAUACGACCUGAGGGUGAAAGGGGGGAUCGCAAGACCUCUCGCUAUUGGAGCGGCCGAUGUCAGAUUAGCUAGGUGGUGGGGUAAAGGCCUACCAAGGCAACGAUCUGUAGUUGGUCUGAGAGGACGACCAGCCACACUGGGACUGAGACACGGCCCAGACUCCUACGGGAGGCAGCAGUGGGGAAUUUUGGACAAUGGGCGCAAGCCUGAUCCAGCAAUGCCGCGUGCAGGAAGAAGGCCUUCGGGUUGUAAACUGCUUUUGUCAGGGAAGAAAUCUUCUGGGUUAAUACCUCGGGAGGAUGACGGUACCUGAAGAAUAAGCACCGGCUAACUACGUGCCAGCCGCCGCAGUAAUAC
rnacentral:rRNA from 1 species